rnacentral:misc_RNA from 1 species
GUGAAUCAUCAAAUCUUUGAACGCAAAUUGCACUCCCUGGUAUUCCGGGGAGUAUGCCUGUUUGAGGGUCAGCCUAAAAAAAAAAUCGACAUCGUUGCUGUUUCGCGGUGACGUUAGUCGGAAAUUUGGUCAUCUUAAACCUUUUGGUUUUUAAGCGACUUAAAAUUUUCUUUUUACCCCAUGAACGUUUCUAAGAUUUAUAUCUUUACACGUUUAAGGGUAUCGAUUUUAUUAGACGUGGCCGUCAUAUCGGAUCGCGUCCAUAAUCUUUCAUUAACUGACCU